GACGAACCGUGCGAACGUUGUUCGGAAUUACUGGGCGUAAAGAGCGUGUAGGCGGUCCGGUAAGUCCGUUGUGAAAGUCAGGGGCUCAACCCUUGAAUGCCGGCGGAUACUGUCGGGCUAGAGUCCGGAAGAGGCGAGUGGAAUUCCCGGUGUAGCGGUGAAAUGCGCAGAUAUCGGGAGGAACACCUAUGGCGAAGGCAGCUCGCUGGGACGGCACUGACGCUGAGACGCGAAAGCGUGGGGAGCAAACAGG
rnacentral:rRNA from 1 species